UUUCAACAAAAUAAAUUUAUUCAUAUAUUUUUAAUGUCAUUGACAUAAGAGUAGCACUUAUAUUUUUAUUAACACUGAUUUUUCACCAUCAAAAAGUAUACAUGCAACUCCAGGAUGAUUUAAACAAGACCCAUUGUCUUUUCAUAUAUCUAUUCUGUAAACGAAGAAAAAAAGGUUUUAUUUAUUAAAUAAGUCAUGUUACAACAAGAAUAUGUCCCCAGUACAUGGAUGCACUAUCAUUUUCUAUGUCCAGUGGACCGUAUAAAUGGGAGAAAAUCUCUAAUUUGGCAUUAAGAUAAGAAAGAUCAUAUUAUAAUGUGUACUAAGUUUCAAGUCGAUUGGACUUCAACUUCAUCAAAAACUACUUGACCAAAAACUUUAACCUGAAGCGGGACAGACAGACAGAUGGAGGGACGGAUGAACAAACGGACGAACGAACGAACACACAGACCAGAAAACAUAAUGCCCAUAAAUGGAACAUAAAAAUACAGAACUUGUGUAUGUAAGUAACAUUCACAGAUCAUUUGAAAUUUUUUUAAACCAGGAUGAUUUUAAACAUUUACGAGGCCCCUCAUGGGGGGGUCCUAGUAAUCACAUAAUCACCAUUUUUUUGCCAAUAUAAUCACAUAAUCAUUAAAUAUUUGCUUAUCUUUAGUAAUCAAAUAAUCAUAAACUAAAAAUACUGUCCUAGGUAAUCAAAUAAUCAUGAAAUAUUUGGCUUAAUAAUCAAAUAAUCAUUAAAAAAACGGCCAAGUAAUCACAUAAUCAAAAACCCCAUGAGGGCCCUCAUUUACUCAAACUGCAUUUUAUGCAUAAAUGACCCACUUAUGUUAGUAGCUGAUACAAAUUACCAAUAAAUUUCAAAAUAAAAUUGUAUGAUAACCUUUUUAGAAAUAAUGCAUGAUGAACUAAAAUUCAUCUGAUCUUUUUUCCCUGCAAUGUCGGUGACACUCAUAAAUAAUGUAUAUUUAGGCCAAAAAAUGUAUACAUGUAUGUAGUUAUAUCACUUAAGCUGUACCAUUUGUGAUUACUUCCAAAUGAUGGACUUUUAACUGGGGAUAGGCUGGCAGGUAUAGCAAGUAAACUGCUACACAUGGAAGGUUUAAUUCUACAUGCAAAGACAACAACAAUAACUUCUCUCAUAAACAAGUAAUGUUAGAUGUGGAACAAAAUUCAUCAAUUAUUUAAUUAUUUAUUUUUAAAAGCAAUGGGUGUGGUACAUAAUUUACCACACGCUGAUUUAAUUUCCCACAUGCUGUACGUCCUAAUUUCCUAAACACUGAUUCCGUUUAUAAACCAGAUGCUCUGCAGGGCGCAGCUAUAUACGACCGCAGAGGUUGAACCCUGAACAGUUGGGGCAGGUAUGGACACAACAUUUAAGCUGGAUUCAGCUCUAAAUUUGGAUUGUGAUUAAAUAGUUGACACAGCAUAGGUUUCUGACACAGAAUGAAUGUGGUCUAAUGAACUUAAAAUAUUUUUUUUGCCUUUGAGCAAUUCACUAUGCUGUUGAAUAUUAAUCCUCUCAAAAAAAUGUUUGAAGAAAUUUUCUUUUAUUUAUGAAAUCUGAAAUCAGAAAAAUUUAACCCCCCACCCCCAUUUGUUUUCACAUCCGCCUUUCCCUUUUUCCAAAACUGAUCUCAAUUCAAAUUUCUAAUGGAGUUUGCAACAAUAACUACUCAUUUAAAUACAUCAUAAAAUAUUAAA
rnacentral:lncRNA from 1 species